UACGAAGGGGGCUAGCGUUGUUCGGAAUCACUGGGCGUAAAGCGCACGUAGGCGGACUUUUAAGUCAGGGGUGAAAGCCUGAGGCUCAACCUCAGAACUGCCCUUGAUACUGGGAGUCUUGAGUAUGGUAGAGGUUGGUGGAACAGCAAGUGUAGAGGUGAAAUUCGUAGAUAUUUGCUAGAACACCGGUGGCGAAGGCGGCCAUCUGGACGGAUACUGACGCUGAGACGCGAAAGCGUGGGUAGCAAACAGG
rnacentral:rRNA from 1 species